GACAGAGGGUGCAAACGUUGCUCGGAAUCACUGGGCGUAAAGGGCGUGUAGGCGGGAAGGAAAGUCAGAUGUGAAAUCCCUGGGCUCAACCCAGGAACUGCAUUUGAAACUCCCUUUCUUGAGUGUCGGAGAGGAAAGUGGAAUUCCUGGUGUAGAGGUGAAAUUCGUAGAUAUCAGGAGGAACACCGGUGGCGAAAGCGACUUCCUGGACCAAUACUGACGCUCAUGUGCGAAAGCGUGGGGAGCAAACAGG
rnacentral:rRNA from 1 species